rnacentral:lncRNA from 1 species
AAUUUUGGGUCAGUGGCCAGCAUCAAUCCCGGCCUGGGAUACUGACAUUCUGUCCCAAUGACAGCUCUCUCUGCCAAUCUUAGAUUCUCCAGCAGCAUUUUAAUAUGACUUGGAUGUGACAGAUGUACAUGCUUUUGUGCCCAGACUUUGUCUUGGAAAGGAGGACAUUGUCUUUUGGAGAGCAAAGAAAGAAUAAUGAUUGCUAAUGAAAUCCAGAGAGAAAGGCACUCUGAUGGUCUUUAUUUUCCAGAUGAAGAAACUAAGGCAAAGCAAGUCUAAGUAUCUCAGCCAAGGUCUCACAUCUGAUACAUGGUAAUGGGUAUACAUCGCAGAAAAAUGAUUAUCACAGCUCAUCUGCCAUAAUCUUCAGAAAGCCAGAUAUCAAAUACCAAAUAAAUCGCCUUCAGAUAAAUUGAGAAACAACUCAUUCUUACUCUGCAGUGUUUGACUUUAUCUGGCAGAAAGAAAGGUAAUUGGCCUAGAGUAACUUUCCUUACCAUCAGACUUGGGUUGUAUCUGCAAAACACACUUGAUGUGGAGUUAUUAGAACAUCACUCACAAUAAUACU